UGCUUAACACAUGUAAGUCGAACGGAAAGGCCUCUUCGGAGGUACUCGAGUGGCGAACGGGUGAGUAACACGUGGGCAAUCUGCCCUGCACUUCGGGAUAAGCCUGGGAAACUGGGUCUAAUACCGGAUAGGACCUCAAGACGCAUGUCUUCUGGUGGAAAGCUUUUGCGGUGUGGGAUGGGCCCGCGGCCUAUCAGCUUGUUGGUGGGGUGACGGCCUACCAAGGCGACGACGGGUAGCCGGCCUGAGAGGGUGUCCGGCCACACUGGGACUGAGAUACGGCCCAGACUCCUACGGGAGGCAGCAGAAGGG
rnacentral:rRNA from 1 species